ACGCUUCCUACUAGUUGCUUUGUUAUCAGUUACUGCUAUAUGGCAACAGAUGGCGUUAUUCAUACAGGCAUAACAAUAUCUAGUUGCUACCUACAGUCUAGCUUUGUCUGCAUACAAAAAACAGAAAGU